rnacentral:rRNA from 1 species
CCCCGAGGAGAAGAAAUCAACCGAGAUUCCGGUAGUAGCGGCGAGCGAACCUGGAUUAGCCCUUAAGCACUCGGUGAAGUAGGUGAACAAGCUGGAAAGCUUGGCGAUACAGGGUGAUAGCCCCGUAACCGACGCUUCAUCGAGCGUGAAAUCGAGUAGGGCGGGACACGUGAUAUCCUGUCUGAAUAUGGGGGGACCAUCCUCCAAGGCUAAAUACUCCUGACUGACCGAUAGUGAACCAGUACCGUGAGGGAAAGGCGAAAAGAACCCCUGUGAGGGGAGUGAAAUAGAACCUGAAACCGUGUACGUACAAGCAGUAGGAGCACCUUCGUGGUGUGACUGCGUACCUUUUGUAUAAUGGGUCAGCGACUUAUAUUCAGUGGCAAGGUUAACCGUAUAGGGGAGCCGUAGCGAAAGCGAGUCUUAACUGGGCGCUCAGUCUCUGGAUAUAGACCCGAAACCGGGUGAUCUAGCCAUGGGCAGGUUGAAGGUUGAGUAACAUCAACUGGAGGACCGAACCGACUAAUGUUGAAAAAUUAGCGGAUGACUUGUGGCUAGGGGUGAAAGGCCAAUCAAACUCGGAGAUAGCUGGUUCUCCCCGAAAGCUAUUUAGGUAGCGCCUCGGACGAAUACUACUGGGGGUAGAGCACUGUUAAGGCUAGGGGGUCAUCCCGACUUACCAACCCUUUGCAAACUCCGAAUACCAGUAAGUACUAUCCGGGAGACACACGGCGGGUGCUAACGUCCGUCGUGGAGAGGGAAACAACCCAGACCGCCAGCUAAGGUCCCAAAGUAUUGCUAAGUGGGAAACGAUGUGGGAAGGCUCAGACAGCUAGGAUGUUGGCUUAGAAGCAGCCAUCAUUUAAAGAAAGCGUAAUAGCUCACUAGUCGAGUCGGCCUGCGCGGAAGAUGUAACGGGGCUAAGCAAUACACCGAAGCUGCGGCAAUGUCUUUUAGACAUUGGGUAGGGGAGCGUUCUGUAAGCCGUUGAAGGUGAAUCGUAAGGUUUGCUGGAGGUAUCAGAAGUGCGAAUGCUGACAUGAGUAACGACAAAGGGGGUGAAAAACCUCCUCGCCGGAAGACCAAGGGUUCCUGUCCAACGUUAAUCGGGGCAGGGUGAGUCGACCCCUAAGGUGAGGCCGAAAGGCGUAAUCGAUGGGAAACGGGUUAAUAUUCCCGUACUUCUGACUAUUGCGAUGGGGGGACGGAGAAGGCUAGGUGGGCCAGGCGACGGUUGUCCUGGUUCAAGUGCGUAGGCUUGAGAGUUAGGUAAAUCCGGCUCUCUCUAAGGCUGAGACACGACGUCGAGCUACUACGGUAGUGAAGUCAUUGAUGCCAUGCUUCCAGGAAAAGCCUCUAAGCUUCAGAUAGUCAGGAAUCGUACCCCAAACCGACACAGGUGGUCGGGUAGAGAAUACCAAGGCGCUUGAGAGAACUCGGGUGAAGGAACUAGGCAAAAUGGUACCGUAACUUCGGGAGAAGGUACGCUCUUGAUGGUGAAGUCCCUCGCGGAUGGAGCUGACGAGAGUCGCAGAUACCAGGUGGCUGCAACUGUUUAUUAAAAACACAGCACUGUGCAAAAUCGCAAGAUGACGUAUACGGUGUGACGCCUGCCCGGUGCCGGAAGGUUAAUUGAUGGGGUUAGCGCAAGCGAAGCUCUUGAUCGAAGCCCCGGUAAACGGCGGCCGUAACUAUAACGGUCCUAAGGUAGCGAAAUUCCUUGUCGGGUAAGUUCCGACCUGCACGAAUGGCGUAAUGAUGGCCACGCUGUCUCCACCCGAGACUCAGUGAAAUUGAAAUCGCUGUGAAGAUGCAGUGUACCCGCGGCUAGACGGAAAGACCCCGUGAACCUUUACUACAGCUUGGCACUGAACAUUGAACCUACAUGUGUAGGAUAGGUGGGAGGCUAUGAAGACGUGACGCCAGUUGCGUUGGAGCCGUCCUUGAAAUACCACCCUUGUAUGUUUGAUGUUCUAACUUAGACCCAUUAUC